GACGAACGCUGGCGGCGUGCUUAACACAUGCAAGUCGAACGGAAAGGUCCUGCUUUUGUGGGGUGCUCGAGUGGCGAACGGGUGAGUAACACGUGAGUAACCUGCCCUUGACUUUGGGAUAACUUCAGGAAACUGGGGCUAAUACCGGAUAGGAGCUCCUGCUGCAUGGUGGGGGUUGGAAAGUUUCGGCGGUUGGGGAUGGACUCGCGGCUUAUCAGCUUGUUGGUGGGGUAGUGGCUUGCCAAGGCUUUGACGGGUAGCCGGCCUGAGAGGGUGACCGGCCACAUUGGGACUGAGAUACGGCCCAGACUCCUACGGGAGGCAGCAGUGGGGAAUAUUGCACAAUGGGCGGAAGCCUGAUGCAGCAACGCCGCGUGCGGGAUGACAGCCUUCGGGUUGUAAACCGCUUUCGCCUGUGACGAAGCGUGAGUGACGGUAAUGGGUAAAGAAGCACCGGCUAACUACGUG
rnacentral:rRNA from 1 species